rnacentral:lncRNA from 1 species
GUGCGAACCGGGGCCGGACCCCGGGGAGGAGCCGGGAGGCGAGCGGCGAGGGGCACUGCGCGGCUGGGUCUGCCCCGGGGUUUCGCACUGCGCCGCGGGUCGAAGUACCGCGAGUUGGCCCUGACUGUCUGCAGGAUGAGGGUGUCGAGGAGGGUUCCAGGCCAGCGUGCCUGCCUCGCCUCCAGCCCGGGGAUGGGCCUCCAGCGCUUUCCAGGCUAACUCAGCGAGCCCAGUCUUCUUAGUCAACUGAGAGACAUGUCUACAGAACAGACCAUGUGGCCAACUCCUCCUCCUCCCCAUGCCCCAGGCAAGAGGACUCUGGGAAGACAUCCAGGAAGCAAGGAGUCUGUAGCCAGCUGCCUUCAGAAGCCCAAGGUCAUUGGCCCUGCCACUCUGGUUUGCCAACUCCUCAAGGACCACAUAGGCCCAACUGUUAUGGAAAGGGUGGACCAGAGAGAGGGGCUUCUUUUCCUUCGGCUUUGGGGAAGGCAAAGGCAAUUCCUGCCACUGCCCACUCCAGAGACGGCCGCAUCUUCCAGCCCCCACCCCCACCCCCAGACUGGAGAGAAGAAAAGGAAUUGGAGGAGAAGGAAUGGGAUAAGGGUGGGGGUUUUCUGAGACCCACAUUCUCUCUGACAUGCCCACUGAGCCUCCCCACAGGAAAACAGGUGAGCGUCCUCAUCCAGCCCACGGUCUUCAACUUUGGGGUGGGGGCCAGAGUGAGGCCCUUGGCCUGCCCAUGGACAGCCAUGUUGCGGGCACGCUUCGCCUGGGGCCAAAUGUGGUCACGCAAGUGGGUCUCUUUCUCCUGCACAUCCAGCAGUCAUCUCAGCUCCUGGGGACUUUCUGUCUGUCCACAGGAUUAUGAAAGAAAUACUAGAAGUAUUCUCCAAGUUGGGUUGGGCUUCAGAAAGCCCUUUUGAUAUAAGCCAAAUACCUCAGAUGGCCAAGGGAGUGGCCUGGCCUCAGUCUCCUCAACUAAAUCACCAGUUCCAAGACAGCAGGGAAUAAUAAAGAUAAAAAUAAUAUAAUAACGACAGCUAAC